UUCUACUUCUGAGUGUUGACACUUGCUAA
rnacentral:piRNA from 1 species